rnacentral:rRNA from 1 species
GUGAAAUGUUGGGUUAAGUCCCGCAACGAGCGCAACCCUUAUCCUUUGUUGCCAGCGGUCCGGCCGGGAACUCAAAGGAGACUGCCAGUGAUAAACUGGAGGAAGGUGGGGAUGACGUCAAGUCAUCAUGGCCCUUACGACCAGGGCUACACACGUGCUACAAUGGCGCAUACAAAGAGAAGCGACCUCGCGAGAGCAAGCGGACCUCAUAAAGUGCGUCGUAGUCCGGAUUGGAGUCUGCAACUCGACUCCAUGAAGUCGGAAUCGCUAGUAAUCGUGGAUCAGAAUGCCACGGUGAAUACGUUCCCGGGCCUUGUACACACCGCCCGUCACACCAUGGGAGUGGGUUGCAAAAGAAGUAGGUAGCUUAACCUUCGGGAGGGCGCUUACCACUUUGUGAUUCAUGACUGGGGUGAAGUCGUAACAAGGUAACCGUAGGGGAACCUGCGGUUGGAUCACCUCCUUACCUUAAAGAAGC